rnacentral:lncRNA from 1 species
UGAUAACCUAUUAUUCAUACUACCCAAACUAAAGGCAAAAAAGAAGAAAGAAGAAGAAAGACAAAGGAAGAAGAGGAAGGAAGAAGGAAGAAAAGGAAGAAGGAAGGAGAAGGAGAAGGAGACGGAGAUGGAGAUGGAGACAGAGAAGAGGACAAACAUUUGUAAAAGACAAGAGGUUGCAGAAGGAGUCAGGUAGUUGGAGAACAAUUCUGCCUACCCCAGUAACUAAGAAGCUGGUAACAGAGGUAUGCUUCCCUACUGCACAUGUAUAUAUCAGUGUCCAAGGUUAAGAAAACCACAUUUGUAUUUUUUGGCAGGUACAAUACAUUUUAAAUGAAAAAAACAUUUAGAAUGUUUUCUUUUCAAAAUGAUUGUACUGCUAGAAGGAAGUAUCUAACAAUCUGUUCAUUAUUAAUUGCAUGUUUUCUGAUAUGGUUAAUUAUUUAGGCUUGAUGUAAUCAUUCAGCUGGUUAAGACUGCUUACUGAUACAAAGUUAAAGAUAGGA